CGGGAGCCCAACUCGGGGCUCGAUCCCAGGACCUUGAGAUCAUGACCUGAGCCAAAGGCAGGUGCUCAACCAAUUGAGCCACCCAGGCACCCCUAUAUACUAUAUUCUGUACAAUAAAGUAAGCUGUAGAAAAUGUUACCAAGGAAAUUGUAAGGAAAAUGUAUUUAUAAUACUGUACUAUAAAAAAUAUCUGUGUAAGUAGACCCAAGCAGUUCAAAUCUGUGUGGUUCAAGGGUCAACCGUGUGUGUGUGUGUGUGUGUAUACAAAAGGGAUUUAUUAUAAUGCAUUAACUCACAGGAUUAUCGAAGCUGGAAAGUAGACUGUCCAAGUCCAUGUCUCAGUUUGAGUCCAGGGGCCAGAACUGCUGUAGAACCAGGAAGAGCUGAUGUCCUAGCUCGAAGGCCAUGAGGCAGGAAAAUUCUGUCUUACUAGGGCCAUGUCAGCCUUUUGUUCCAUUCAGGCCUUCAACUGAUUGAGUGAGACCCACCCACAUAAGGGAGAGCAAUCUGCUUUAUGCAAGUGCCCUGAUUAAAAUGCUAAUCUCGUGCAGAAACACCUAGAAUAAUGUUGGACCAAUUCUCUGGGCACCCCGUGGCCCUAUGAGAUUGACACUAAAUUUAAUCAUCACAAGAAAGCUGUUGCUUUCUCAGGAAGCACACAGUCCUGGGCUGGGAGCUGUAUGUUGUUUCACACGUAUUGGAAGCUGACCUCAGGUCAGAGCUGGAACAUCAUUUUGUAGUUUGAUGCCACUCUGCUCUUGCGUUCUGCUAAUGCACCCUCUUACCAUGUUUUGUACGUGCUUUUUUUACUGGUCGCUGGUCAACAGCCUCUUGUGCCAUAGGAAUUGCUCCAAAUUUCCUCAUUUUUCAAGAUCUUUUCCUAACUCCUGCCUCUUUGCUCUCUGUGUGAGAUCUGGCCUCUUCUUUCACAGACGGGAGAAACUGAGACUUAGGUCUGUUACUUCGCCCAAAGUCACAGGGCUACUGUAUGGGCAAACUGGGAUGGAAUUUGAAGCAAUGGGCCUUGUCCUGGGAGCGCCAGGCUUCAUGCCAUGCUAAAUGCCCUUGUUUCCCCAACAUCUCUAACCUUGAUGCCUCUGUCCUUCCCAUUUCUGGGAGGAUGUGUCCUGUUCCAAGCAUUGUUCCCUGGCCCUCCGCACGCGGCACUGCUCAGAUCUCACUGUCCGGUGCAGCUCUGUAGUGCGUGGGUCUCUGGCACUCUGCUCCUAUAAUUUUCUUUCCUGUUUAUUUGUCCCCUUUGUAUUUGUGGUAUAAGAACAUAAUUCUGCUCUUUCAUCCUUAAAAACUCUCCCUUGACCCUGUGUCCCUCUAGAGUUACUACUGAUCCCUUCUCUUCCUUUUACUCCCCAUUCUUUAUUUUUAGCUCCGAGUAAGUGCUCACCUGCUGAGACCCAAGCUGCUGCUACUUCCCCCCCUCCCCGUCCACUGACACUGUUCUUGGCAAAGCCAUGGGAAGCAUCCUGUUCGAUCACGUGUCGUGGCUGCGCUGCCUGACUCCGCUGCAUCUGUCACUGCUGACCACCUCUUCCCCCAGGAACUAGCGUCCCUUCUCUGCUCUUGCGCAGCCUCCCCCACCUUCUGUCCAGCCCCUGUACCUGGAAGGAUGUUUGGUUCCACCCAGUCACUGGAACAACCACGACAACCCCCACCCCCCGGACAUUUCCAUAUGCCCCCGGGGUGUGGUGCUGUCCCUGGUUGAGAAGCACUAGGCCCCACCCUGCACCUCCUGUAUCCUAGCGCACCCUAGUCAGUCAAGCGGAGACCUUGCUCUUCCGCCUCAACCUUCCUCCCUUUGAAUUGGUUACCAAAUUCCAUCCAUUUAUUUCUAAAAUAGCUCUUAAUUCUGCUCCUACUUCUGUAGUUAAAAUAACAGGCUUUAACAUCUGACUCCUUGACAGGGGUUCAAAUGAAAAUCCUAAUUUGUCCAUUUAGUAGCUGUGUGACCUUAGGCAAGCUAACUAACCUCUCUGAGUCUGUCUCUUCAAUCCAUAAAAAGAAGAUAACUCCUUCAUAGGGUUAUUGUGAGUACUAAGCACUUUUCUCUGACACAGACGGGGCACUCAGCAAAUAACGGCUCUCCCUGUGGGCCUGGUAAUUUCUGCCUUAGACCAGUGCAGGGGCCCCUGCCUGCCUCCAGUCUCUGUGCCCUAGCCCUUGCUGGGUGCUGCCCAAGGAGCUUUUACAAAUGUAGCCUGGCCAGGCCACACUCUGCUUGGGAAUCUUCAUGGAUCCCAUUGCACAUACAGUUAAACUCAGCAUGGCCUACAAAGCUCUUUGGAAAUACGACUCCAGCCCUGUUUUCCAGCCUUACUCAUGUCUGUCAGCCUGCUCCCUCCACUCACCACCUCCCCCGUCCCCCCACCCUCCAGCUUGAGUUCUCUCUCUCUCUCUGAAGGAGUCACUGCCCCCACCCCUUUCACGUCCCCAUGUUUCUCCUUUGCCUAGGAAGGUCCUGCUUCUUCUAGGCCAGCUCGAAUACCCCUUUCUCUUUCUCUGUGAAGUCUUUUCUCUGUGUCUCCUUUGGCCCUGGGCUCCCACUGUGGGAUGUGUGUGCCUCUAUUUUGGCGUGUGUGUUGUCUUUAGCUGAUUUCCAGUUUCUCCUUCACUUGCUGAGUGUGAUGUGGUGGAAGGAGCACAGGAUCUUUCCCACGACACACACCUUGGGCUGCAUCCUGACUCAGCCGCUGUGGAGGCGUGUGACACUGGCACGUAGCCCCUUUGUUCAGGAGUCGUGUUUGGGUUCUCCUGUCUGUCUGUCUGGGUCAGAUGAGAUUACAUCAUUAAGGCACCUGAUACAGUUCUCAGUGGGGAAUCAUUUGGCAAAACACCCCUGGGGGCUGUCUCCACUGCCCUUAGGCCUUUCCCGUCCCAGAGUCACUAGCCAAGGCCGUUCUAAUUGUAUUAGUUUUCUGUUGCUGCCAUAACCAGUUACUGCAAACUCAGUAGUUUUGACAACACAAGUUGAUCAUCUUAACAGUUCGGUAGGUCUAAAGUUGGAUACAGCCUCACCCGAUAAAAGCAAAAUGUUGGCAGGGCUGUGUCCUGGAGGCUCUAGGGGGUAGUCACUUUCCUUGCUCGAUUUAGGUUGUUGGCAGAAUUUACUUCCACGAGGUUUUAAGACUGAGGUUCCUGUUUGCUUGCUGGCUGUUGGCUCAGGGCCACCCUGAGCAGAUAGCAGACUGUCUCUGUCCCAGAGUGGGGCUCCCUAGGGCUCAGCUCCAGCCACGGGACAUCACAUCUUCUCGCUCCACUCCCGCCGACUCAUCCAUCCAUAAAGGCCCUUUUGUCAUAUAAGAUAACAUACCCUCAGGUCCCAGAGACUACGGCGUAGGCAUUUUGAGGGACCCUUUUCUGCCUGCGACACCCAUCAUCCCUCUGAACUCUCUGAAGUAACACUGUGAAUGUUACUCCCUUUCUUGAUGAUCCUGUGGUCAUCUCUUCCAAAGAAUCCUUUGUUUCUGCAAUACCACACAGCUCUUGCACACGGUGAGCGAGGCGGUUGUUGGUUGUUUUUGGCAGCCCAGAUCUAGGUAAUGGUACCCCAAUCCUCCAGCCCCUAUUCUCAGUGUAUGUGAGGUGGUGCUGAGCCGGCUGGCCAGCUCAGGGGUGGCGGGCCCUGACGGCACAGCUUAAGAGUGAUUAGGCCAGGGAUGGGGACCUGCCCCACCCCAGGCCCCCGAGACAUUGACCUGGGACUUUUGCUGGAACUCUUAGACAAGAGGUCUUUCUCCUUCCAGUGGGACAGACAACAGGAUAGAAUGGCAGCCCAGAGUUGGAGGUGGUUAUCUUGACAUCACCAGGAGAGGGAGGAGCCUGCCAGAGAAUGAGGCCAACCUGGAAAAUCAAAGCAGACCGAAAAAAUGGAAACCGAUAGGUUUCUGCUGACCUAGUUUGAGCCCCUGGAUUUAGAAUUUUCGGAAGCCUGAUGUGCACCUGGACUUUUAAGUUAUAACAUACCGAUAAAUUCCCUUUCUUUGCCUUAGCAGGGUUCAGUUGGGUUUGUGACGACGGUGUGUCCUGACUAUAACGGUGAGCGAGGGUGGAAUUCAGAGCUGAUGCGUUCGGAUAAUGGAGCUCUCUCUUUCAGGUCUUCACUGAGAUUUUGUGGAAGGACCUUAUACUCCUGGUGCUUCUUGUUAUUAUUUCUCCAGAGUUUAUCUGAGGAUCCUCGGCUCCUACAACUUAGUGGAAGGACUUCUUUUUAGGGACACCUCUAGUUUCAGUAGUUGUUUAUUCAUUUUUUGUUAAUUUUUAAUUUUAAAUGAGUCGUUCUGUGCCAAGCUGCAGUAAGAAGGUGUGUCUGCUUCUAGGGAGAUGUUGGCAGGACGGUGAAGAGCUGUACCCCUGGGACAGGGCAGGCUUUGGGCGAGGGCUGCAACACCCAGCACGAGGAGGAAGGAGCCCUGCCCGCUCCCCCUCCUGCCUGUUGCCCGGGCAGUCUGCUAACCAGGCCCAGUGCUCACAGACCUAGAAGGAAACUCAGCACAAAGAUAUGCCUACAGCCGGGAAUCCCCCCGACAUUUGAGAAAAACCAACCUGCUGAACAGGAGGGAGGCACUCAACUGAACAAACAAGAAGAUAACAUGGAAGGAAAUAUGAAUCAGAUAAGUAGAGUAAGACUUGUUGAAAAAAAUAUAUGAAGAUUCAUGUUUAUAGACAAAAAGCUGGGCAUCCCAGGAAUUAUUAAAUGUUAAAAGAUGUUGAUUGCUUUCUAAGAAAUGAUUUACUCUCAAUCCAACUGAACAUUUUAACGAAUCUUCCAAAAGCAUGUUAAUAUAAUGUGCUUAGCAUGGUGGUUUGCACAUAUACUCAGUAGAUGUUGGCUAUUAUUCAAGUUAAUAAAUGAAAAAAAAAAGCAAGCUGAAAAACAAUAUUAUAAUAUGUGACUAUUUAUAUUAUUAAAACAGAGAGCAAAACGCCCACCUUUCUAUACAGACCUAUGUGUGUGUAAAUGCCUAGGAAAGGCCUGGAAAGAGUCUCUGCUGGGGAGGCCCAGAGUGGGGAGUGAGGAGUGGUCCGCAAACAUUUUUACUUUAGCUGGAUGCUGGUGCACAUUUUUUAUAGUGAGACCGUAUUCAAGAGCAGCAUUAUUUUAAUUAACACAGAUUUUUUUUUUAAGUAAAGGAAGAAGUAAUAAAAUUGCACGAAGCCUGCUAUUAUAAUCUUGUCUAUAACAUGGGGCUUUUUUAAUUCCCUUAGCCCCAGUAUUAUAAGUGACUUUUAAAAUAUCUUUUGUGUUAAUCCUUGUUAAUGUAUAAUCACCAUUUGAUCCAGUGUUUUUGAGAUUCAGGCCAAGGUCCAUCAGAGGGUGAUGAACCCAGUGUUAGAGCGGUUCAAUCAGCACUUUCUUUAAAAAGAAAGAAAGAAAAUAGAAAACAAAAACAACCGAGCAGAACAGAAUAGGAUAAAAUAAAAAAAAAACAUUAGUAUGCUUCACAAGUUGUAAGAGUAAAUACUGUUUUGUGAAACUUUGUGAUGUGAAAUUUAUUUCUUGCUGUGGCUUGUGGCCCUAAAAGUUUGAAAAAACACUAAUCUAAUUCACUUUCUUCCUGUGAGGCUGCUGAACGAAACUGAAUUUUUUCCUUUCCUGUAUUUGCAGAAUACAUUAUCUUGAAUAAUUAAACACUAAAAGCAAACAAACACCAUUUCCUCAAUAGAUUCAACUUUGAAAUGCAGAACCGACAGCAGCUGUAACCGAUGCAGGACCUUCGUCGGCUCCGUCUAAGUGCUCAUUAGCACCGUCCAAGAAUCACUCCAGUGUUUGGACUCUUCCCUUUUCAUAAAAAAGGAAAUACAGCUAGACAUAGAUGAUCACGUUAUUUGAACCUGUUUUUACUCAUCAAAACAGUGCUUCUGCUGUUUGGCCCUAAGAAACGACAGAUUUGUUACUUACAGCCGAGAGUGUUGUAACAAGAAGUCAACGAGAAGGACAUCCAAUGAGCUCCCCAGCCCUGGUGGUGUUUGGUGCCCACUGGGUAGAGGCUGAGGAUGGUGACUUAAUUCCUCAACCAAAGGCCCUGUCAGGUAUAAGGGCCCCAUGUCUUGGGUUCUUCCUCUUAUUCCUGUUGCCCUCCUACUCUGCCCCCAACAGCCUGGGAAAUCUUUUUCUUAUCUGAGUAUAUAAAAAUCUGGCCCAUGUUCAUCCUAAUUUUUCUGUGAUCUGAAUUUUCUCAGGGCCUAGGCUUUUAAAGCUAAAACUAUUCCUUUAUUCUCCUUCUACUGUAGCAUUUUUCAAUUUACAAAACAGUCUAGAUGCUUAAGUGGGGAAAAAAACCUGUGAGAGGGCGUGUAUGUGUUGUCGUGGAGGGCAGAGCUGGGGUAGACGGAGGUGGUGGGGAUGGUGGAGAGGAUAAGGCUGGUAGAAGAAGGGAAAAAAACAGAAAACAGUAUCAGUUAAUAUUUUAAGCCUUGUAUCCAUUUAAAAAACUCUAGCCUGUUAGAGAUGCUUGUCAUAAACCCUCAUAGUAUUAAUAUUUCAAGGAGGAGAUGGGUAAAAAAAAUCAAGAAUAACAUUUUAAAACAUUUCAACUUUGUUCCUUUGUGAUCUGUCAAAAAGGCAAAGCCACCUUCAUAUCCGAUACAUAAUCUUCAUCUUUUUGGAAGUAUUUUCAGAGCCAAGAUCUAGGUGCUAGGAAUAUAGCAGUUACAGAAAGAAGUUUCUGCCCUCAAGGAGUUUACGUUUUAGAGGGGGAAGACAGACCCCAAGCAAAUAAAGGAAAACGGAGUCUAAGAGGAUGAUAGCACGAUGGAGAUGGAGGGGGGUGGAUUUGUAGUUUUCAGUAGGGGGUCAGGGCUCCUGAGAGAGAGAUGUGAACAAAGACGAUGAUGGAGGCAGCCAGGCAUACAGAUACCCGGGGUGGGAACGUCCCAGCAGAGGGAACAGCUCAGGCAGGAGGUGGCUCAGCACGGAGGAAAACAGCUCAGGUCAGUGUGGCUGCAAUGGAGUGAACAAGGGUGAAACUAGGAACAGACCAAGUUCCAGAGCUCACAGGCAGCCAGACUGGGGAGGACCCUGCCUCGGACCAGGGAAGCUUAGCGCCUCUUCACCGAUGCCCUUCUGAGUGCCUGGCUGGCAGAUGCCGCGUCCUGCAAUCAAUUGUAGGAGGUCCGCCCCUGCCUCUGGCUUUGUUCUAUACCCCCCGUACACAGUAAAGCGGAGGAGGACUGCUUUUAAAAUUACCUGCAAGUCAUACAGCCAAUGGGUAUGGAUAUCUGGAAGAUCCUGAAAAUUCAAAAGGCAUUCCCUCACAUACCAGGCAAUGGAAUUUUGUUUGGCUUCACUCUUUGUACAAAAUGGUACAUUUUUGUCAGUGACAUUUCCCCCUCCACAAAGUCAACAGUGACAUUGAAUGUUUGGGGCUGUUUUAAAGGAAACCGAAAUUUGCAUUUUAAAAACUUGGUAAAAUAACAUUUGAUCAGAACUGUACAUUUAUCAUUAUUUUAAAAGUGCACCACAUCGCUUGGCCUCUCCCUAAGCAUUGAUACAGCGUCUGUUACCUAAGCGAGCUUGCCUUCGGGUAACUUUUCUCCCUCCCAGGGGAACAGAUUAGCAGGUAACCCUGCUGCCUUCUACCUGGUUCGUUUCUCCCUUUGCUUUUUUUCUCCUUGGGCCUUUCUUUUGGGCAUGUCAGUGGCAGCUGGGGGCUUUGACUGAAGAAGAUGGGCUCAGGGCUGGGUGGGGGGCUCAUUCUGGGGAAUCAUGUAAGUUUUAUAGCACUGAGAGAAGCUAGAGUUCCCUUUCCUUCUUUUUUUCUUUCUUUCUUCCUUCCUUCCUUUCUUUUUUUCUUUCUUUCUCUCUCACUUUCUUUUUUAAAGAUUUUAUUUAUUUAAGGG